ACACCACCUCUCCAGAUCCGAACCCGCGUGGAAGAAGAAGAAAAAAUACAAUCCACAUGGACUGCAAACUGCAAAAUAUUCAUCAAGCUGAAUGGAACACCAGAGCAAGCUAAAGUUCUAGUCAUUAGGGACUUGGAGGAGCUGGAUAAAUACCAAUGAGACAUGAUGAUAAGGUAAUAGCUUUUACACCCAGUAGUAAG